rnacentral:rRNA from 1 species
GUAGCAUAAUCAUUUGUCUUUUAAUUAAAGACUAGAAUAAAAGAUUAAACAUUUUAAUUAAUUUAUCAAAAUUAAAUAUUAAAUUUAUUUUAAAUGUAAAAAAACAUUUAUAUAUUAGGAAGACGACAAGACCCUAUUAAACUUUACUAAAGUUUAACUGGGGCAGUUAAUUAAUUAUUAUUUUAAUUAUAUUACAAAAUAAAUCAGACCCUAUAAAAUAGAUCAAAUGACCAAGUUACUAUAGGGAUAACAGUGUAAUAUUAAUUUAAAGAUCUUAUUAAAAUAAAAGAUUACAACCUCGAUGUUGAAUUAAUAACCUAUAUUAUAAAUAAUAAAAGGAAGUCG